ensembl:lncRNA mucin-5AC-like
CUGCAGACAAAGAAGAUUAAGAGUGUGGUGACUUGGCAGAAAUCACCAGUGGUUUCCAUCACACACGCCCUCAUCAUCCCAGCCCUGUGGAAACAUCAGUGAUGUCAGUUUUUGACUCCUCCCUUCACCCCCUUAUUUAUAUAGUGACACAAAGUGGACAGGUGUCACAGUUCCACCUGGGAGCCUGAGAAGGACGGUCCAGCUAACUUUGGAAGAUUAUUCAGAGGAGUUACGUUUGCUCUGAACCCUACAAGGUCUACAGCCAUGGACAACAGGCUCCUGCUCGCUGCCCUGUUUAUGAUGCUGUCCUGGGAGCUUAUGAGCACCAAUGCUCAGACGACAGUAGCAGGAACCACACUGGCAGGAACAGGAAACGAAACAACAGCAACAGGAAAUGAAACCACGGCAACAGGAAACCCAACAACGGCAACAGGAAACGAAACAACGGCAACAGGAAAUGAAACAACCGCAACAGGAAACCCCACAACGGCAACAGGAAAUGCAACAGUGGCAACAGGAAACGCGACAACGUCAACAGUAAACACAACAACGGCAACAGUAAACGCAACGUCAACAGUAAACGCAACAACGGCAACAGUAAACGCAACAACAGCAACAGUAAACGCAACAGUAAACGCAACAGUAAACGCAACAACGUCAACAGGAAACCCAACAACGGCUACAGGAAACUCAACAACAGCAACAGGAAACGCAACAACAGAUACAGGAAAUGCAACAACAGCUACAGGAAACCAAACAACAACAGGAAACGCAACAACAAUGGCACCCACACCGCCUCCACUGCCAGUCAACACCACAGUGACAAUUCUUGAGACUCCUGUUUCUCGGGUAGAAUGUGGAACCCGGCAGCUCUGCGCAGCCCAGCCGGCUUCAUGUGAUCCCUCCACACCCGGAUCGUGCUUCUUUCUUGGUGCCAGGCUGACGGGUGGCCUAAAUUUUGAAUUCCAGCUCUCAGGAGAGUCAGAGGGCUACCUGGCUGCAUCCCUGUCAGCUCCUGGAAUCAAUGAAACCCUCUACGUCUGUGCAAACAACCAAAGUGUUGUUCGAUUCAUCAGUGCCGUACUUUACAAUGACCAGCUGAUUGAGCGAGAGCAAAGGGUGAAUAACGUGAAGGGAAAGGUCAAUGGAAAAACCAUCCAGUGCACGUUCGCUGCCACUGUACCGACCCCCACGUCUAGAGCAACAGGCUUCGCCCUUGCCGUCUCCACCGGAUCUUUCGAUGCCACCUCUGGAGCUCUGGGACGGCCCUCUAGCCAGAUAAGGACACCUGUUGUAAACCUGGAAGAUCCUAGGAUCAAUGUCACCAAUACGAUCAACACUACAACAACGACAACGCAACCUUCAACAACACCCGUUGUGCCAUUGAGCCUUUUUGUGACAGCGGGGCCUCUUGCAUCCUCCGUUUCUACCACUGGGUGUAGGUCAACAAAGCUCUGCGCCGCCGAGCCUUCUCAGUGCGACCCCUCCAACACAGGAAGCUGCUUCUUCCUCUCUGCCGCGCUGCAGAGCGGUCAGACAUUCAGGUUUCAGCUCUCAGGACAGUCAGGGGGUUACCUCGCUGCCUCCCUGGCAACAAGCGCCGCACAGAGCAGUAACAUCACAACCUACAUCUGUGCAAAAAGCAACAGCAGUGUUAAUUUCGUCAGCGCUCUGCUCAGUAAUAACCAGCUGACUGCACAGACCACAAACAACGUGUCCUCUGUGAACGGCAGUGCCAGUGGAGACAAAAUCCAGUGUGAGUUUGUGGCCACAGUUCCGGACACCAGCACUAGGGCGUCGCUUUACUCCCUCAUAGUGUCCACCGGAGCCUUCAACCCAGCUACCGGUGUACUGGGAAACCCCACCUUCAAAAUAAGAACUGCUGCUAUUGACCUGACCAACGUUAACAGCACCGUCACCAAUUUGCUUAAUCACGCAGUCACACAGAGGACCUCACUGAUGCAGGUUCUGCUGGUCACCCUGGUCUCCCUGGCUCUGAUGAAGCUAUGAGGAAAACCUCCCCAUCCACACACGCUCAAAGAUACUAAAAGACACUAAACCCCAGGAUUCAUUCGGGUUAGGGGUCUGGUCACCUUUCAAGCCCAAAUAACUCCUGAUAUUAAAUCUUAACCAGUGCAUCAGUGACAAAUAUUUAGAACAUGUAGUUUACCCUGAGAACUAUUUUUUCUUUGGUUUGCAUUAUUUUUAUACAGUGGCAGAUUCUUCUCCCUCAUGCUGAUGUGUAUGCAGCCAUGAUGAAACAUGUUCCCUCUCAUUGAAUAUGUUCUUUUUUAAUGUUCUUUUUGUUUUUAAAUGUGCAUAGCUUUUACAAUGACGUCUCCACAGGCUGAUAUGUUCAUGUUUGUGCAAGUGUGCAUGCACACAUUAAUAAUUCUGAAC